rnacentral:piRNA from 4 species
AUAGCUGCCUUCCAAGCAGUUGACC